rnacentral:lncRNA from 1 species
AAAUUUCUGGUUUAUUUUCUUGAUGUUACCUACAAAAUCCAUUUUAACAGGAGCAAAAACAGUUGGUCCCAACUUGUCCAGAACGGGCACAAUUGCAUAACAUGACUCCAGAAACUCUUCUGUUGGUAUUCCCUCUUCCUCCUGAAGUUCAAUAUCACUGAACCUAUUGCUCAUGACACUGAAGAAAGUAGGAAACCCAUUUUCAUUUUCAUCUUCA